UUAACUCAAAUUUGUAUGGAGUUCGAACGUUUGCCUACGUUAGCCGCUAGGGGUGCUGUUCCAACUGCAUACUGUGAGUUA
rnacentral:pre_miRNA from 1 species